rnacentral:ribozyme from 1 species
CCCAUAAGAUGAAAAAAAGCUUGCGAAAAACAGAGAGAAAAAAAUACAGUAAGCACGACCAAAAUCAAAUCAAGUGUUGGGCGCCCAACCAAAACCUUUUUUUUUUCUUUUUUUCCUUGUAACUGUGAUGUUGAUAUUCGUUUUUGUUUUUGUUAAAAAA